CUAGAGUUUGAUCCUGGCUCAGGACGAACGCUGGCGGCGUGCUUAACACAUGCAAGUCGAACGAUGAACCACUUCGGUGGGGAUUAGUGGCGAACGGGUGAGUAACACGUGGGCAAUCUGCCCUGCACUCUGGGACAAGCCCUGGAAACGGGGUCUAAUACCGGAUACUGAUCCGCCUGGGCAUCCAGGCGGUUCGAAAGCUCCGGCGGUGCAGGAUGAGCCCGCGGCCUAUCAGCUUGUUGGUGAGGUAACGGCUCACCAAGGCGACGACGGGUAGCCGGCCUGAGAGGGCGACCGGCCACACUGGGACUGAGACACGGCCCAGACUCCUACGGGAGGCAGCAGUGGGGAAUAUUGCACAAUGGGCGCAAGCCUGAUGCAGCGACGCCGCGUGAGGGAUGACGGCCUUCGGGUUGUAAACCUCUUUCAGCAGGGAAGAAGCGCAAGUGACGGUACCGGCAGAAGAAGCGCCGGCUAACUACGUGCCAGCAGCCGCGGUAAUACGUAGGGCGCGAGCGUUGUCCGGAAUUAUUGGGCGUAAAGAGCUCGUAGGCGGCUUGUCGCGUCGGUUGUGAAAGCCCGGGGCUUAACCCCGGGUCUGCAGUCGAUACGGGCAGGCUAGAGUUCGGUAGGGGAGAUCGGAAUUCCUGGUGUAGCGGUGAAAUGCGCAGAUAUCAGGAGGAACACCGGUGGCGAAGGCGGAUCUCUGGGCCGAUACUGACGCUGAGGAGCGAAAGCGUGGGGAGCGAACAGGAUUAGAUACCCUGGUAGUCCACGCCGUAAACGGUGGGCACUAGGUGUGGGCGACAUUCCACGUACGUCCGUGCCGCAGCUAACGCAUUAAGUGCCCCGCCUGGGAAGUUGGUUCU
rnacentral:rRNA from 1 species